UUUACUUCUUUUUGCAGCCAAAAGUUUAAGAGAAUUGUUCACUCAAUUGUAUCAUCCUUCAUAUUAAGGUAGAUCAUGACGUUGAAACAGACAGUAAUCAUUACUCCAUUCUACUGACCACCACUGUAAGGUGAUGCGAAGCAUAUUCCUAACUACUACGAUAAGUGUCCCCUUUUCCUGUGGUUUCAUACAUCUUUUAUAAAAAAUAACAGGUAUGGCUAUGAUAUAACCCAGUAGAAACAGUUUAAUGUUCAAUGUCUGUGUAAGGUGUAAUGGCAAGUCUUUUGCUGAUUGCCAUAAGCUCAAUUUAUAGAAACCAAAAAAUCCUCGCGUCACCACUCUUCACUGCCUUACUCAUCUUAAUCUGGUUAUUUAAAAAAUAUGGCUCUUCUUGAGACCCACUGUUGCAUUAUCCUCAAGGUCUAUACCAUAGGACUGUGUUAUACGUUAAAACGUAUUAUAAUCAGAUCUCGAGUGUGGUAAUAAAUCCCUCCCAUGGAAGUUUAAUAGGAGUCUGCUCAGUACCUUGACUAUGGCAGGUCCUCAGUAUGUGUUGAUUUACUGAUGACCGGCCACCACCACAUUCUAUCCCAAAGUAAGGCGUCAUCUAGGGAGGCUUCAGCUAGUUUAAAAGCUGAUUGACACAUUUAUAUCAGUGGCAGAAAUUAUAAGACACAAUAAGUAUCAAUGAAGACAGGUAAAAGAAGUCUCCCAUUUAAAAAUGAUUUUCUAAUAACUAAAUUGGGAAACCUUUUUUUAAAAGUAAUUAUUAAUUUAUUUGAAGAUUAUUCCAAAGCACAUUCUACCAUAUCCAAAAACUCAUUCCUGAGUCUAUAAGUUCUCCAC